rnacentral:rRNA from 1 species
UGGGGAAUUUAGGACAAUGGGGGAAACCCUGAUCCAGCCAUCCCGCGUGUGCGAUGAAGGCCUUCGGGUUGUAAAGCACUUUUGGCAGGAAAGAAACGUCAUGGGUUAAUACCCCGUGAAACUGACGGUACCUGCAGAAUAAGCACCGGCUAACUACGUGCCAGCAGCCGCGGUAAUACGUAGGGUGCAAGCGUUAAUCGGAAUUACUGGGCGUAAAGCGUGCGCAGGCGGUUCGGAAAGAAAGAUGUGAAAUCCCAGAGCUCAACUUUGGAACGGCAUUUUUAACUACCGGGCUAGAGUGUGGCAGAGGGGGAUGGACUUCCGCGUGUAGCAGUGACAUGCGUAGAUAUGCGGAGGAAUACCGAUGGCGCAGGCAGCCUCCUGGGAUCACACUGUCGCUGAUGCACGAAAGCGUGGGGAGCGAACUGG